ensembl:lncRNA
AUGGAACCUGAAAUUCCCCAACUCCAUUAUAGUAAAAAGUGUCUUCCCUUCCUCUGGCUCAAGAAUUAAAAUAUUUUCGUUCUUUGACACAUUGUAAUUUGAUUCCCUAAAUAUUUAUAAUUGUAGAUUUAAAAACUCGGUCUUCUGCUGUAUCAGACAUCUAGAUGGGCAUUUUCCAACAGAAUUAUGAGAGGCCUCUUAUAGAACUUGAAACCUUCCUUGUAGCCUCAUAUAAAUAUAUAAACAGGUACAAUUCAUUUUACUAGUAUAUUUUUAACUCAAAAUGCUCAUACUAUGCUUUCAAUAAGAAAUACAAAUAGGCCGGGUGAGGUGGCUCACAUCUGCAAUCCCAGCACUUUGGGAGGCUGAGGCGGGUGGAUCACGAGAUCAGGAGAUCGAGACCAUCCUGAUUAACACGGUGAAACCCCGUCUCUCCUAAAAAUACAAAAAAUUAGCCAGGUGUGGCAGCGGGCAGCUACUUGGGAGGCUGAGGCAGGAGAAUGGCAUGAACCCGGGAGGCGGAGAUUGCAGUGAGCCCAGAAUGCGCCACUGCACUCUAGCCUGGGCAACAGAGCAAGACUCUGUCUCAAAAAAAAUAAAUACAAAUACAGUAUUUUCUAUUUUUCAUAUUAACUGGCACGUCUUUCAUGCAGCAUAUCCAGUUCAGACCGGGCGCAAUUCAUGUGCUCAGCCGCUGCAUGUGCAGGUAGCACAGGCACUGCUGGGUCAUCGUGACAUGGGCAGGCUUGGAUUGAUUCGCUGCUGGUGUGGAUCUGUGGAGAACUCCCAUCCUGCACCCACUCCGAUCUCCCCCUCCUGGACGUGGUAGGAUGGCCGUGCUCCGCCCACACCUGAGCUCUCUCUGAUCUCCCACUCCUGGAGGUGGUAGGGUGGCCAUGCUCCGCCCACACCUGAGCUCUAUCUCAUCUCCCCCUCCCGGAAGUGGUAGGGUGAUAUGCUCUGCCCACACCUGAGCUCUCUCCGAGCUCCGCCUUCCGGACUCGGUAGAGUGGCCAUGCUCCACCCACACCGGAGCUCUCUCUGAGCUCCGCCUUCUGGACAUGGUAGGAUGGCCAUGCUCCACCCACACCUGAGCUCUGGGUGCCAUGAUCUGCAGGUGUACUCCAGAGGACAAGUGUACUGUGGGUGCGUCUCAUUCAUUCUCCUGGCCUUGCCCUCAGUUCUGGUUGGCACAGCUGUGGUCACAGACUAAAAAUAGCCACCUCAUUCGUUUUGUGCAGCUUUACAGUUGUUUAUGGCAGAUGUGUGAUUUGGGUCCCUGUUCCCUCAUCAUGGCUAGAACAAGUUUUGGCAAAUGAUUCUUAUAUCUUUACAUUUGAAAACUAAAGGAAAGUUUCACCCAUAGAAUAUUAGUGUUGCCACGAUCCUAAUGAGUGUUUCUCCAGAAACUAUGAUCCAGGUCAGCAGCCAGUCAUUUCAUAGAAGAUAAACUUCAAGAACAUUCUCUGAAGGGCAGUGAAACUGAGUAAGAUCUAACCACUGUUACCAGCAACAAAGAAAAAUAGGUAAGAAAAUGCAACUAAGAUUUGGAUCAAGUAGAUACGGUAAUAAACAUGCAAACUAUCGCUAAGCA